CUGUGUUCUGUGUCCUGUGUUUGGAUUCUGUGAGGCAUGUUCAGGCAAGCUCCGAAGUUGCGACAUGGAUGCAUUGACCUAUGAUGAUGUACAUGUGAACUUCACCCGAGAAGAAUGGUCUUUGCUGGAUCCUUCACAGAAGAGUCUCUACAAAGAUGUGAUGCAGGAGACCUACAGGAACCUCAGUGCUAUAGGUUACAAUUGGGAAGACCAUACUAUUGAAGAACAUUGUCAAAGUUUCCGAAGACAUGGAAGAUAAUUUUCAUGUGCAAGUUGGUAUGAACAUGCCUCUGAAGAAAUGUUAGUACGUCCUAGAACUUUUAAAGAAAAGCAACAGUGGUAAAAAAAAAAAAAAAAAA
rnacentral:lncRNA from 1 species